rnacentral:lncRNA from 1 species
GUACUUCAUCUGUUUUGGCCUUUCACGCUUGGAAACACAAGAAUCACGAUCUGCCAUCUCCAUAAGGUCAGAUUUCGAAAUUCUUCAAUGCUCAAAUUGUGAUAUGGAUUUGAUAGGUCUUUGAUUGUAGAUCAUCAUGGUGUUUAUAGUUUUUGAUUUGAUUGAGUAUUGAGAGGGAAAUCUCGAUUUGAACAUUUGAGGUGAAACCUAUUUUUGAUCGAUUCGCUUAGCACAGUUAGAGUUCGGUCAAACCAAUUGGAUAUUCAUGAUCUAGGUUGAAGGACGGUUCCAAUGAUAUAGAGUUUGUAGCAUUUGGUUGAAAAUUGCUCAUCAUCAUUUUCUGGAAAUUGUUGAGUGUUCUUGUUCAAGAACACGAUGAAGAGUGUGUUUGAUCCAUAAUUCGCCUGGCCUUUGUUUGAAUGUUGUUUACCGCCACAUUUUGGCCAAUGAGAACGCUCCAACCAAUUUAAUGGAACGACCGCGUUUGGUGUCGUGGUUCAGUAUUUACGGAUUUGCCAUUAUCAUUUAAAUUCAUCUUUUACUUCAUUUCUUUUUUUCAAUUUCCAUUUCAAUUUCAUACAUGAUCUCCAAAAUUCCAUAACUAAUUCAAAAAUAGUCCAAAUUUUGUGAGAUUUUUUGCAUGAUUCUCCUUAUGAUGUGUAGUUUUUUAUGGUGAUUUUUGUGAUUUUUGUGCACGUGUGAAAAUUAAGAAUGCUUAGGGAUUGAUUGAAUGUAUGCAAUUUGUACAUGUUUUUCCAUAUCACUCAUGAAAUGAUGAUGCUGCCAAAGAAAUUGAUGAAAUUUUUUGUGCAUAUUCUGGACUCUUUGAUGGUGAUUUUGGUAUGUAGUUUGUAAUUUUUGGAUACCUGGUUGAGGAGAUAUGAAUUUUUGAUUAGAGGUGUGACAAUUUGUGUCACACCAAGCUUGAUGAAAUUCAUGAUUUUAUUUGAUGUGCUUAGGGAUGUUGAAUUGAGCCAAUUUUUUUGCAUGAAUGAACAUAUGUAUGUUGAGAUAACAUGUGAAUUUUUCUGGAAUUUUUGAUGGCAUUUCCUAAUUGAUUGAGAUUUUCUCUUCUGUUGGCUCAUUUUGUGACAUUUUGUGACACAUGUUGGAAUUUGAUUUGUGAAAUUCUCAUGGUUAAUUGGAUGGAUGUGAAAUUUGACAUGUGGAUUGAAGACACAUUAUAGUUCAUUAUGGUUUUGAUCCCAUUCAUUUAUCAUGUUGUGUCACUGUUUUAUGAUUUAUGGAAGUUGAUGCUUGUUUUGAUGCCUUGUGUUGGCUUGUUUGAAAUUGUCUGAACUUCUUGAUUUUCAUUGACCUACUUCCUCUUGUCCAAUUGAGCUGAAAUUUGAUAUGCUAUUCAUUGGAUAUGUUCUGUUUAAACUUGAAUUUUUGUGGAAUUAAUUGAAUUGAUUUGGUAUGGAUUUGGUUGAGAUCAUUCUGUUUGGUCUUUUGGGGUUGCAAAUUGCAUGUUUGAUGCCUUUUUGUGCAUGAAAUGAUAAUGGUGAAUGAUAUGAGCAUGGGACCAAUUGCAUUUGUUUAUAAAUUGCUUGAUUGUGAUUUUGGAUAAUUUUCACUUGCUGUUUUGAUUUUUUCAUCUCCUUUGGACCCUAGGCUUGGCCUAGUGGUCUUGUUUCUCAUGUUUGGUUUGGAUUUUCAGGUUGAGAUGAUGGAUAAUUUUCACUUGCUGUUUUGAUUUUUUCAUCUCCUUUGGACCCUAGGCUUGGCCUAGUGGUCUUGUUUCUCAUGUUUGGUUUGGAUUUUCAGGUUGAGAUGCAAAGGCCUUAAGGAGAAAAAAUGCAAGUUGAUUAAAUUGAGUUUGUUUGAUGUUGUAAACUAACUUGUUUUGUUUUGUAGGAUGUUUGGCUCAAUUGAGUUGAGUGUGCUUUGCACAUUGCAUUGGUUGACUGUACAGAUUAAUUGUUGACUUUUGCUGUUUACUGUUGGUUUGUCUGAGUAAUGAUGAUACUUGAUUGAUUUCAGGUACAUUAAGUUGCUAACAGUUCUUUGAGAACUUGCUUGUUGUUGCUUGGUUAUUAAACCAAUUGAGGUAGAAUUUCUAUUCUCCAUGUAGUUUGGAAGACCUGGCCUGUUACUUGGCCAGGCACCUGUCUGAAGUCCUCCUUAAGAGGCGAUGUUUGUGCUUGUUUACUUUUGUGCCAAGCAGGAAAAGCCCUUGAUUAAGGCAAUUGACGGAUAAAAGAGAUAUGUAAUCUAUCUCCCGUUAUUCUGUUGAGUCGUCCCUCUGCUCACACCACUGUGUUGAUGCAUUGGGGCACAAACCCAAGAUCUUGUACAGUUGUACAGUUGUGUCAGAGUCUUGAGCGUAGAAGGGUUCCAUCUUUCUGAACCCACGCUCCUUUGUCUGAAGCUCUCCCUGGCCAGGGAUAAGAGCUGUGAAGUCUAAUCUUCACUCACCUUUCAUCAGCUUCACCCUGACUCUCAAUGUCAGGGUUAAGAGCUAACAUGUACAGAUGACUCGCCUUGGCAGUCUAACCCAUUGUUUAGCCCAUUCUGACUGGAUAUAGUGUGUGCUAUGUGAAUAUUGCUUCUUCUGCUUUGUUUAUGCUUGCAUGCUUGCUUUUCCUGGAUAGGAUUAGCUUGCUGUUGUGCGAGUAGAUAGAAACUCAACCUAGGACCAUUGUGGAAUACAUGAUAACUAUUAGGCUCGGCUCCCUUCUAGUUGGUCAUUUCCCAGUCUCUGGUUAGGAGAUAGUUUCUCCCCUGUUUAGGGGAACUACGUUGCCCUGAUCCUCAUACCAGAUGAGGUACGUAGGCAGGAGGUCGUGUGAGAUCUCUCCGGGCAAACCCUUUUUUUUGUGUUGCUUGACAGUUGCUAGGCUCGAGUUCCCGACUCCUUAGUAACUUGUUGUUGUUUGUUCUUGUUGUGUGCUUGGAAGCUGAUAUAAGUCCAUCAAGUGGCAUUCGGGUUCCAGUGUGGGUUGUUUGGUUCGGAAGCUGACGUAAGUCCAUCGAUUGGCGGUCGGGUUCCACGUUUGCCAUUUGUGUGUUUGUUUUGAUGUCUCAGCGUCUGUGCGUGUGUUUUGUUUCGGCGUGCGUAAGCCGAACUACAGUAGCUCUGAUUCUCGUUCCAGACGAGAUAUGUAGGCAUAGGAUGCGAUGUCCUAGCGAGCCCUCUUCCUCUUAACCCCACCUGUGUUUCUUGUGUGUAUGAUGUUUGUUUUAGCAACCUUUUCUUUCUUUUAGAACGUGGAUCCCGUCGGGUACGACGGACGUGAGGGGUGCUAAUACCUUCCCCUUGCGUAACCGACUCCCUUACCCUUUCUCUUUGGUCGCGAGACCAUGCUUUUCCCAGGUUUACUCUAAGCGUUUCCUCUCCCUUCUUUUGGGAUAAAUAACGCACGGUGGCGGCUCUGUGUUGUUUUUGUUUAAGCCCGCCGGUUGUUUUUCGCGGAUGCGACAGCUGGCGACUCUGCUGGGGAACCUCAUAGAUGUUGACCUGUGCUGGUCCAUCUUCCCUAAGCGAGUUCUUCCUAGCGUUCUAGGAUAGUUUACGUUGCUUGAUUGCUUUAUUUAUUGCAUUUAUUAUUCUGACUGUGUAUAUAUUUGCAUAAAUAUUUGCAUGCAUCAUACUAUCAUGUUGUUGUCCUCUGUACAGGUGGUUCCUCUGUUUUGGGGGUGGGUGUUCUGAGUGAGGCUAAAACCCAGGCCCGAGUAUACACCUAGGAUUAGUGUGGUCUCACGUUCCUCAUUUGCUUUAUUAGCAUAUUAUUGCAACGUGACAUACCACAAGCCGGACGAGAUUCAUCUGAGAGCUCUUCCUUUGUGGAGUACUCCACUCUGGUUGGGUUACCUCUUUUGAACUAUUGACUCUGGUGACCGAUCAUUUCCCGGAUGUUUGGUUUAGACGAUCUUAAGGGAGCUACAAUGGCACACCCGAAAGGGCAAACCCAUUGAGUAUCUCCGCCCGAUUGUCGAGACUAUUAUCCGCCUUAGGAUGACCUGAUUAGAAUUUACCUGUGAGAGACGAUCUUAAGGGAGCUACAAUGGCACACCCGAAAGGGCAAACCCAUUGAGUAUCUCCGCCCGAUUGUCGAGACUAUUAUCCGCCUUAGGAUGACCUGAUUAGAAUUUACCUGUGAGGGGAGGGUAUUUCUUUCAGAUGCUUUGUUCAGAUGGUGACUUUGAUGGUGACUUUUGGUUCCGUUGAUCAGAGUCAUAUUUAUAAGUCGGAUUUAUGGUCAUUUAUUUCUGAGACGCCGGAGUGUUGUCCAAGUUAUUUAUCAGUGGGGAUCCGUUUAUUUCAGGAUUCCCCUGGCCGAUUCAGAGAUUGUUAUGGGUAUCUGCUCAGAGUUUUGUCUGAUGAUGAUGGUGAUGUAUCUUCCGUUUAUUUCGGAACCCUUGAGUUGGAUUUGUGGUUACAUACUCCCUCAGAUGGUUGUGAUCGGUUCAGAGAUCAGGGCCGUGACUCAGAGCAACAGAUGAUCAGAUGACUUUGAGGAUAGCACUAUGCAUUGCAUUCAUUCAUCAGCAUCAUCACAUUUUGCAUUUACCUGCAUCUAACACAUGUUUAUCCGUAUGCAGGGACAUUUUUGCUCGAGAUCCUGGUUGAGAGAUUUCUGCUCAGAUAUGAGGACCGGUUUGAAGCCUGAUGUUGUCUAUAGCUUCUUUGACCCAGAGAUUGGUGUACUGAGAGAUAUGAUAGCAUUGAUUACACCCGACACAGUGGGGAUGUUCAGAGAGUCAUACGGUAGUAUUCUGAAGAUGGUUUUCCGACUCACUGACAGCGACAGGAGCGCCAUUCAUACUCUUCUCCAGUUCUAUGACCCGGGGCUGAGAUGUUUUGUGUUUCCAGAUUAUUUGUUGGGACCUCUGAUGGAGGAUUAUGCUAGCAUCCUGGGUAUGCAGAUCCGUGAUCAGAUUCCUUUCCAUGUUACUAGGGUGGAGCCUGACAUCCUUGGGAUUUCCCGUGCUCUUUAUUUGAGUCCGAAGAUGGCCAAGGAGGGUUUGAAGGAGAAAGGAAAGUUACCAGGUUUUCACUUGAGUUUCUUGGAGGCUAAAGCCAAGGAAUAUGCUGCUAUGGGUAACUGGAAGACGGUUUGUGUCUUGAUUGCUGUGAGCAUUUAUGGUGUCAUCAUGUUUCCUAAUCAGAAGAGCUUUGUGGACCAUAAUGCUAUCAGAUUGUUUAUACAGAGGAACCCUAUUCCAACUCUGAUCGGAGAUGUCUAUUACUCGAUUCAUAACAGGAAUAAGAAGAGACGUGGGGGCUUGAUCCGGUGCUGUGCUCAGUUACUGUUCAGGUGGUUUAUGGGGUAUUUGCCUUCCCGAGGUGCUUUCGCUUCUCUUGAUCCUACAGUCAAGUGGUCGGUCAGAUUGAUGGGUUUGCGGGCUACUGACAUAGCUUGGACUCAUAACGGUAUGGCUGGACGAGAUUUCAUAUAUAGCUGUGGGAGAUUUCCCAAUGUGCCUCUUGUAGGAGUUCAUGGUUGCAUUAAUUACAACCCGACGCUUCUUAGGAGACAAAUGGGGUUUGCCAUGGAGGUUCCUCCUCUCGAGCGAGAGAUUCAGAAGUCCUUUUACUUCUCAGCUGAGGGCAAUCAGGCCAAGCUGGAGCAGGUGUCUGGGGCAUGGCGUAAUAUUCAGAGAAAGGGUAAAGUUCCUUUUGGCAAGGUCAACAGUCAGUCUUUUCCUCCAUUUGAUGAUUGGCUUCGGAAGAGGGUCGAGAUCACACUUCUACCAUUUCCGGGAGGUGAUCCUUGGUGUCCUAUGAUUGAGGGUCCGAGUUCUUCUGUCAGUAUGGAAGAAUUCCUCGAGAUGAAGAGGGCCAGAGAUCAGUUGCUUGCGGAGAAAGCUGAAUUGGAGAUGAGUGUUGCUCGGAUUCAGACAGCCAACCAGGAGAUCAAAGUGAAGAUGGAAGAUCAAGACAAGCGACAUGCCUUAGAAGCAAAGCGCUUUGAGAUGGAUACUACCUACUAUGGGAAGAUCAGCCAAGCCUUAACGUCAUCUACCAGAGAGCACGAUAUCACCAAAGAGAGAUUGGCUAGAGCUGCAAAGGUUAUUGAAGACGAGAAGAGGAGGCAAAUCCUCGUGAGAGAUCAGAGGGACGACAGAGUCCGAGUUCCCAUCACUGAGUAGGACCAUUGUGGAAUACAUGAUAACUAUUAGGCUCGAGUCAGCUCCCUUCUAGUUGGUCAUUUCCCAGUCUCUGAUUAGGAGAUAGUUUCUCCCCUGUUUAGGGGAACUACGUUGCCCUGAUCCUCAUACCAGAUGAGGUACGUAGGCAGGAGGUCGUGCGAGAUCUCUCCGGGCAAACCCUUUUUUUUUGUGUGUUGCUUGACAGUUGCUAGGCUCGAGUUCCCGACUCCUUAGUAACUUGUUGUUGUUUGUUCUUGUUGUGUGCUUGGAAGCUGAUAUAAGUCCAUCAAGUGGCAUUCGGGUUCCAGUGUGGGUUGUUUGGUUUGGAAGCUGACGUAAGUCCAUCGAUUGGCGGUCGGGUUCCACGUUUGCCAUUUGUGUGUUUGUUUUGAUGUCUCAGCGUCUGUGCGUGUGUUUUGUUUCGGCGUACGUAAGCCGAACUACAGUAGCUCUGAUUCUCGUUCCAGACGAGAUAUGUAGGCAUAUGAUGCGAUGUCCUAGCGAGCCCUCUUCCUCUUAACACCACCUGUGUUUCUUGUGUGUGUGAUGUUUGUUUUAGCAACCUUUUCUUUCUUUUAGAACGUGGAUCCCGUCGAGUACGACGGACGUGAGGGGUGCUAAUACCUUCCCCUUGCGUAACCGACUCCCUUACCCUUUCUCUUUACGUGGAUCCCGUCGAGUACGACGGACGUGAGGGGUGCUAAUACCUUCCCCUUGCGUAACCGACUCCCUUACCCUUUCUCUUUGGUCGCGAGACCAUGCUUUUCCCAGGUUUACUUUGAGCGUUUCCUCUCCCUUCUUUUGGGAUAAAUAACGCACGGUGGCGGCUCUGUGUUGUUUUUGUUUCAGCCCGCCGGUUGUUUUUCGCGGAUGCGACAGUCUGCGAUCUAUUAUGAGUUGAAGCAAGCUACUAUGAACUUGAAUGGUGUUUUGGAAAGUGUGGGUGGGGACAUGAUGGAAAAGUAUAAUAGAUAGAGUGUGUUCUACUAAGAUGAACAAGUUGAUUUAUUUUGGAUCCAAGAUACAAGUUAAGUUAUAUUGAGUGGACUUUUAAGGAUAUGUAUGGAGUUGGAUCUGUGUUUGCUACCGAGUUGAUCAAAUCUAUAAAAGAGAGCUUACAAAAAUUGUAUGAUUGGUAUAAGUAAUCUUAUGACCAAAAUCAUAAUAGGUAACUUCUUGGUAGUGGUGAAAACAAUGUUUCCAAUGAUGAAACAACAGCUGGCCGUCCUUCACUAAUGGCUAGAGCCGAUGCUUUUGAGCAACAUUUAGAGGAACAAGACUCGAUUGAUCAACAAAAUGAGCUUAAGGGUUUUUACUCUAGUAAGUGUGUCAAAAGGGAUCCUAAAUUUGACCUUCUUGUGUGGUGGAAACACAAUUCAACAUAAUAUCCUAUUUCAUCUACAAUAACUAAAGAUAUUUUUGCAACACCAGUGUCUACGGUUGCAUCAGAAAGUGCCUUCAGUACGGGAGGGAGAGUCUUAGAAACUUAUAGUAUCUCCCUAAAACCUGAAAUGGCAGAGGCAUUAAUUUGCACCCAGAAUUGGUUAAAGUCGUCUUUUACCUAUUUCAAAGACUUGAACCUCAUGGAAGAUUUUGAGAUUUCUGAAGAUAUUAUAGCAGGUAAAAUUAUUUCUAAAAAUGUUAUAUCUUUAUUUCAUAAUUGUUAUAUCUUUCUAAAAAAAUGUUUAUUUCAUUAUUUCAAAAUUUGAAGAAAUUUCUUCUGCAGCAAGAAGAGGAUCUUUACCGUCUCAGCCACAACCUUCUAGUUAUUGUUGAAAAAUAUGGAGGUAUAUUUACUUUAUUAAUUUGAUUUACUUAUUACUUUAUUCCUUUUUAAAGCUUAAUAUUUUUCUUGUUUAUUUUUCAGUUCAACUAUGUUUUUUGAAGUCAUAUGUGACUUAUAUUUUGUGACCACUCAAUGGCCAAACAAUAUAUAUUUUGUCAUGUGGAUUUUGAAGAUAUUCAAGCUAGCCAAAUUUUGGUAUGCAUCAAACAAUAUAUUAUUGUGUUAAUUAUCAUUAGUGGUUUAUUAGUUGGAUUUAAUACUAAUCAAUUCUGAACUAAAGUUGGUAAUGUCAUGGUCGGUUGUCCAUUAGUUAGAUGAAGUACUGCUAAUUGUGUCAAUAGAACAUUUUGAGGCCAUGCAGGGACAGCUUGGUAAAACUGUGACGAUACGCUAUAUAGUCAGGAUCAAUUGAUACAUUUUGUAACAUCUUGGUAAAUGAGCAGCAACAUACGCUACGUUAAUUAACAGUGUUAUGUUACUGGUUAACAAAUAGUGUCAUGUUAUUAUUUUUUCAUUAUUUCUUGAUUUUCUCUUACAGGCUGAAAAUGAUGCAGUUGACCAAGACCUUCAAAAUUGAUGUGUGUUGACUUUAUAUCGGUAUGCCUUUACAUGUGUAGAAUUGACGGUUUUGAUUUGAUUAAGCAUUGUUUAUCUCUUCAUGAUAGCCAUAUGGUAGUGGUAGUUUAUUGUUUCCCAUUCCUUGAAGAGUUUGACAUCAUCUUUUCAUUGGAUUCUCAAGCAUAUGAUUUUGGUGUAACAAAGUUAUGUUCCAUGGGAUUAUUAAAGAUAAUGGUGGGAAGAAUAAAUAUUUUGUUAAAAUAAAAUAUUCACUCUUGACACAUAUGGGUUAAAUUGAAAUCCAUUUGAUGUUGUAGAAUUUCAUUUGUAUCGGAACUGUUAGGAUCUGCCACUUGAACUUGUUGGAAUCGAUGUUAACUCAAUGAUAUUUGUUGCUAUUGUGACAUGAUUGGUUGUAAAACAAGUUAAACUCAACUAGUGAUGCUUAGAAUAAUUACAAUGCUAGUUCACUAAAGCUAAAUGGUAGAUUGGCUCUAAUGAUUUAACUUCUACCAGUGUUAAUCAACAUUUAUAUUUAUUAAUUAUGGUUGAUAUUGUAGUUUUGAUUUGGGUAUGUUUUAUGAGUUUUUACCUUAUGCUGAGAAAUGUUGAAAUCGGUUUUGAAUUGCAGGUUAGGUGAGAGAGGAAUGCAUGUUGAAGAACUAGCAAGAGAGCUCAAGUUAUUAUUGGACAUGAUCAAGUCAGUUCUCUUAUUUUUUAUAUUGUCUUGUUAUGGGUAUGAUAAGCAUUUGCUUAUGAUUUAAACUAAAAUUUGUUCAUAAUUCCAGGUUGUCUGUAAAAUCUCUUGAAGAUGAAGGUAUGGUAUUCUCCAUACUCCCACAAAAAACUAGCUUGAUAUUUUAUACCAUUGAAAGAGUUUAGAUGAGGACCAUGCUAGUAUAGGACAAGAACCACCAAUGAUAUUGGUGUUGAUUUGUUUUGAUUCAAUGGUUAAUGUAGAUAUUUUUUGGAUCAAUUAAUCUAUUAUAUGCUUAAAAAAAGUAUGAAUCUUGUUUGUUAACUAAGUUACUUAACAUCGAUGAUGUUAAGUCUAAAAUUAAAAUUUUAUCGAUAAUGUUAUGGUCUGGCUUAGGUGGAAGUGGAAGCACUUGUAAUUCAAGAACCAAAACUUAACACAAAUAUUUUGAGUCCUAUCAUCCAAAGACCAACAAUUUGCAACUGUUUUAUAUACUUUAAAAAUUUCUCUUGUUUUUCAUGUAUUUUGAGUAUUUGUAUAUGAUAUAGUGGUUGUAAUUUAUUCAUUUCUUUUUAAGGUAUGUGUGGAAGUAGCAUAACAUUUGUUACUUUGGAAUGAAGUUUUUGAUACUUUGAAUUUAUUUUGAAUCUAAGUUGUAGUAAUUUGUAGCUCAAAAUAUUAUCAAAAUGUAUUACUGGGCUCAAAAUAAUAUCAACCUAAUAAAACCGAUUAAACCGGUUUCAUAACCCGCAAUCCGUACUAACCCAACCCGUCCAAAUCGAUUACAAAAAUGGGGAAAAAUGGGCUUAUAUGGCUCAACCGCGGGUUGGGAUGAGUGAGGCUUUUGGGCCCGAAACCGCCCAACCUGGCCCGUUUUCCAGCCCUACCCGCUGAUAUCCGUAUUCGUUAACUAAUUAUAAAAUUGUCUAAAUAUUACUAGUUUACUAUACUUUAUCUUUUCAUCUUCUUAAAAAUUAGUCUUCUUUUCAUCUUCUCUUUCUCUCUCUCUCUCUCUCUCUCUCUCUCUCUCUCUCGAUAGUUUCAAACUUUAAGUUAUACCUUUUGUUUCCCCCUCUCUCCCAUUCCUUUUAAAAAAUUAGUCUUCUUUUCAUCUUCUCUUUCUCUCUCUCUCUCUCUCUCUCUCUCUCUCUCUCUCGAUAGUUUCAAACUUUAAGUUAUACCUUUUGUUUCCCCCUCUCUCCCAUUCCUUUUAAAAAUCGUUCCAUCCACCAAAUUCCAUCAUCAUAUUAUCUUAACUCCCCAAAAUCAUAACCUCUCAACCUAUCUUUCUUCCUAAACCGUUUCUCAAAGAACUCACUCUCAACUUUCCAUCUCACUCAUUAUCAGAAACAUCCCAUUAUCCCUAAACACUCAAACUCUAAUUUUAUCAUAAAGCUCAACUACAAUCAGGGGUGCUACAAAACCAGUGCCCGCAAAAAUGUCAUGCCCGUGGUAGACUCCUCAGAUGAUGAUAUGUUUGAUGGUGAAACUUUCAUCAAUAAUGAUGCUAUCCAACAAUUCACCGAUUACUUAUCAGGAAUGAGCAUGCAUUCUGAAAGAGGUUUCAUCUCGGACAUCCAAGAUUAAAACCUAGGUCUCCCUAGAGACAUGAGAAAGCUGAUAGAAACAAUGAAGUGGACCAUGUUUUUCCAGCAACCAUAACCAUACAACAUUCAGAUCAUGAAAUAGUUUUAUGAAAAUUUGGUUGACACCACCAACAAAAAGGCUGAAGUGGUGGUGAGGGGCGUGAAGGCAUCUUAUUCUGAAGGAACUAUCAACAUGUUGUUCAAAUUGGGACAAGUUGAAGACAGGUUACCAAGAACUCUUAUUGGCCUAUGAUGAUGCUUAUUGUGAUGUAUACAUGGAGUCCCUUUGCAACCCAAGAACCGAGUGGGUAGAGACUGGUGGAGAAAAGACUGUGAAGAGAAUGGAUUUGCAUUCAGAAUCCAAACUUUGGUAUCAGUUUAUUAAGCAUUCCUUACGACCUACAACCCACAAUGAAAUUGUUUGGUGUUGCUACAUUGCAUCACUUAUGGAGAAAGUAACAACGUGGGCAAGAUCGUUGUUCAAGAGAUACAAGCUUUCUCUAAAAAGAAAGGAGGUAUGAUUUUAUUUCCCCUGUUUGGUAUCUACUCUCUGUAGCGGUAAAUUCAUGACCACCAAGCUAUGGAUAAGCUUAACGUUAAUAAAACUAGAGUCACCACCGCACUUUUAUUGUUUCUAAAGGAAAAGGGAAAAGUACGAACAAAACCCAAAGAUAACAAGUUUUCAAAUCAAAACUAAUAAAAUGCCAGAGAUUACAGGUAAGGGGGUUGGUUACACAGAGGGAAGGUGUUAGCACCCAAAGUGUCCUAGGUACUCCUAGGGAGACCUUUUUUAUAUGUGCAUAUGUGUUUGGUAUAAAAGAUGUUUGAGAAAAAUAGAGUGUGGGGAUGAGAAAAGAAUUUAUUGAUUAUAUUUUUGUGUUUGACAAGACCUUCGAACUUGUGUCUACGUACCAACAUAAAAAUGAGGGAUCAAAAUCUCGUAGUUCGUGGUAAAAAUUUCAAAGUUGGUGAAUUGCUUUUAACAAAAGUUUAAAUAAGAAAAGGGCACAAAGGGCCAAAAGUUGAAUGGAGUUGUCAGUUUUUUUGUCUUUUGAAAUUUUAAGUCAAUAUGAUUAAGUUUAUUUACAAUUUUGAUUUAAGAAAAAGAGUUUGAAAAUUCAAUGGCAUAAGGACAAAGUUUCUAAUCAUUAAAAAUAAAGUCUAGGUUUAAAAUCACAAGCAAAGAAAGUUUUUGAAAAGAGGGAGAGAUUUUGAAAUUUAGAAGUGGGAGGAGAUGAAGAGACUAUCCUAAGCACAAAUUAAAAGUUAAGAGUUGAAAAGAUUUGACCAAUGGGAUGCAAUCCAACAGACAAGAAUGUCAUAUAGAAAACCCAUUUUCCCUUUGGACUUUGAAUCAAGCAAUAAUCAAUGAGCAAUUAGCAGUACCCAAACAUUAUGAAGAUUAAGGCAUCAAAUAAAGAUAGCCACAUCCAAGCAAGCAAUCCCAAAAGCUAACAGUCUUCUUUGUCUUCUCACGUAUCAAAUGAAAUAUUCCUUGAUCAUCUCAAAGCAAAGCAUCAGACACAAGGUUAAAAUAACAAUUAGCACAAACACAAAGUAGUAGAUGAAUUCAAACAAGAUCCAAGGCUUGCAUCAUAUGAAGGCUUAGUUCACAAUAGCUCAUUCUCAAAAUGUUGGCAUUGGCCAAGUCCUUUUUGCACAUGGAAUGUUGACUAGUUCUAAGUCCAAGAGUUCAAAUCAAGAUCAACAGUCCACCAGAUGUUUUUUAGGGUUUUUGUUGUUAUUAAGUAUUUUAAGGUCCUAAGACCAUAAACGAAACCAAAAUGCACAAACAAUAUAUACAAUCACUAGAUAUGGCUCAAAUGAGCAAAGUGAAAAUGACAUAAACAUAAAUAAGUUAAAUGGAAUGUAAAUGGCAAUGAAUGAUAAAUGACUGAAAUUUAAAUUGCAUAAAGUAAAUGACUUGAAGGUAAAGCAAUAUUAACAAGGAUUAGUCAAAUUUUAGUCAAAGGUUAGUGGUGUUUUUUAUUAAUUAAGUCAUUCUUUGGAGAACACUCAACCAUUCUUUCACAAGUAUGAAUCCUAAAACUAAGACAUCUUCCAUGAGAAGGACUCCAACUUGGAUAAUUCAACAAGUAUGCCACUAGCUCUCAUGAAAGGAAAAAAUGUCAAGUCUCCACAGAAUACCAUGAAGAAUGGGAGAUUUACAAUCUCACUUACUAGAAUUCUAUGCCAUUAUGGUCAAAUUUAGCUAUAUGUUAAGCAAUCAUAAUUGGACUUAUGUAGAAGUCACAAUUAUCCGAGGUUGGGCAAUAAAAAUUUAGGUGUUAAUGCAUGCUAGAGAUUUGGUAUGAAGAACCAAACUUCUAAAACAUACCACACACUAAAAUAAAAGAUCAAGAGGGAGGGACCUAUCUCAGUCAUACUUGAAGGAGAAUUGUGGUCCAAAACGCAACGGAAAUUAAAAAUUUCUCCUUUAGAUAUCCUUAUGAAUGGUCAUGAUCAGUGAUAGAAUAUUUACCUCUUGUGACGGUUGAAACCUUUGGUGCAGAUCUCUUGUAAUGAUCAAAACCUUUGAUGCAGAUCCACAGCGCGAUCACGAACGUUGAACGAUGACAACGUCUCUACUCAGUCCACACGAACAGAUUCCUUCAAUCUCAGUGCUAGCUGGUAUGAGUGAAGGCUUUGAGUGAGAGAGAGAGAGAGAGAGAGAGAGAGAGAGAGAAAACGAAAAUAAUGCAACCGCAAUUAAUGCUUCUGCACAAGGGUUCUAUUUAUAGAACCACUUGUGUGGGCUUCAAGCUAAAAGGCCCGGUUUCAAUCAGUGUCUUCGAAAGGACCCAUAUGCAACUUUGACGUAUUUCUCAUGCAAACUGACGUAACGCCACUGGUCACCUAUCAGUUCUAACGAUUUACUCACUAAUCUCUCCUGACACGAAUGCAGAAGAAAUUAAGCUUACAGUUGCUCUUUGCCCUCACCCACCGGCCUAGAUAUACUAUCUUGUGUUCCUGGCUAUUCAUUAUGAAAUGAGACUCCACAAUGCGGUAGCCCCAAUUCUCUUCCAUAGGUGUGUCGUGCUUGUGAUUCUUGAAUUUCUCAAGCUCUACUUUCGCUCCACUGGUUCCUUUGAAUAAAAUCUUUUCUAGGAAAAGCUCCAGUUCGACGACAACCUUUUGCCAUACAGAAGGAUUGUAGAAGUAAUACCCUUCUUUUUCUUUAGGAUACUCCCACAAUGACUUUACUUGAAACAGAUACACAUGUUCAAUUGUUGCCCACGCUCAAUUAGGGAAACAUCCAAACUCUGAGGUAUGUAACACUUAUGUCAUUCUCCACCAUUAACUUCCGGAAUAACGGCUACUUUGAGCUCUAACCUAGUGCAACCCCACUCAUCUGACGAUCUAAUGCCAUCCACUCAAAUAAUUUCUUCUUCAUGUAAGACAUCACACAAUGGGGUAGAUGUUAGCUUCUUAUAACCAGCACCUCCGCAGGCUAGACUAUGCACAGCCAAUCGCUCAUAUGGUGUCCCUUAUCAACUUCUUCGGAUGGAACAUUAGGAUUUAGUGUAUGUAAGUUGCCUGUCAAUGGUGCAUGUCCCCUUCUAAGUAUGCAAACAUCAACACAAUUCAACAAAAGAGUUUGGAAGAUCGGCACUGUGCAACUACCAUUAAUUCUCAUGGAUCGUACCAUGUCUACAGGGUUUCCUGUUCUUCUCUCCCACCCAUGGGAAUUAGCAGAUACAUACACCAGCAUUCCCAUUGGGCCGUAGUGUGCCUACAAACCAAGGCGCAGAUGCGGGAGUUUAAGUUAGGAUACACCUAGAAUACGAAUCACACUCACACCCAAUCUUAAUCAGAUGGUCAUAACAACGUCCACGACAAGAACCUUGCUUAGGCUUAAAUACUCCAGACCCUCUAAAUCAAUACAUAGUUCACCUCCGUUCCAUAUCAUCAAUGCAAUAUAUCUACAUAUCACUGCAUCAUCAUACAUAUUAUCAUAUUAUACUCAGCAACAUUUCAUCCACAUAAGCUGUCAGAUUAUGCCCAAACGACCCUACAAUAUUAGUACAACAUGCUAAUUCACACAUCUUCGAUCUGAUGCGAGCUGCUUCAAAGAGUUUUUAAUCUUCUUACCAACACUCGUAGUUGGUUUGUACUUCAUGUCUGUCGGAGAGAAUUUUCAUCUUGAACUUUCAAAUGCCUCUCGCAUCUUAUUGUGCUUGUUUACCCACUUAAUAUAAGACAGCACCAUAGGAUCAGCAACCCAUGCCCCCUAACAUCCAUACCAGGUUCAGAAAAUCAACCUUAACUCACAUACCAAUUUUUCCGAGACUUGUCAUAUGGCUGAUGAAGUACUACAGAAAACGUGUUCAUCAACUCUGGCUCGGUAUGUUCAGCGUUUAACAUCGCGUCCCACAUACUCAUUAGUAUGUAUGCUGGGUAUGAGCCACAACCGAGGUAUAUCAUCUAGGCUCUUUCACACUUUUUUGUGUGAAUGGAGAUUUCGUCAUCAUUCCAAGUACUUUGGGCAGCGUAUUCGGCAUCCAAACAGGCAUUUUUCAGCAAAACGCAACAGUGUUCUACCCAGGUGUAGGUCCCUUACCUUCCGGCGCACACUGGAAGCGGUGCCUGCCUUUGUUUAUGCCUCCACCCUACUGGUUGGACCCUCCGUGUUAACAACCAGCAGCAAAGUGGGUCUGGGGUUUUGGCACGUCAUUCCUGUGCAGAACACUGCUCCAUAGUAUUUCCACAAGUUUCAAUACGUGUUCAACCUUUCAUCACGGGCUUAACACUCCACUGGGUUUAACCGGUUACGCAGACCACACAAUCCUCUGCGCUUGGUGGCCUUUUGUUCUGUCGGUCUUUCCAUUCCUGAUCAGCUCUAACACACCAGAGGCAGAUGGAUUUCCCAUUAUUUGUCGCAUGUAAUUGCCGCCCGUUGGACGGAGAUUCUUCCGCUGCUACCUCCGAUUAGCAGCUGACUUUCCGUAAAUAAGCUAUACGAUCGGGGAAACAUUACUAACCACAAUGUCUUAGCAAUUAGGAAGAGAUUUGUCCAUAUCAUUCAUAUUGAAAUUUAGGACAAAUUGACCUGAAUCCAUCUGGCAACGAUUGCAAGAUCAAAUCAGGUCGCAAGUUCCUUUCCGAGGAAACCCAUCUGUCAAGGUUUUUCCACAUACUCCAAUCAACAAUUACCCUUGAGGCCCGAUAUGGUGGAUAAUUUCAACUUCUAACUACAACCGGGGACUCAGCUUUCAUUCAGCUAACUUGCUUUGCACAAACAAACAGCAGUGUUGCUUCCAUCUAGUAUAAUACUCAUCAUCAACCAACAUUAGGGUCAAAUCUAACUCGGGCUUCUAUCACUAUCUGCCCUUGCCUGUCCAUUUGACAUAUUAUCAUAGAGCAACCAUUUAACUCAGGUGCUCCCGAUCAUAAUCCGGAACGAUAAACGCCCCCUUCUAAAUCCUAAAAAUUCGAACGCCUGGACAUUUGUCCAGAAUCUUUGAGCUUAAGUUCGUUCCUCAAACCUUUGCUCUUCAGAUCUCCUUUUCCUCUGUUUGCUCCCUUGCCUUUUUCAACUUGAUUGUUUGCUGUUUUUCUAGCGUAUGAAAUGUUUUCAAAAUGACAACCUUUUUGAGCCUUUUCAUUAUGGUCGCAAGCACAUAUAUAUAUCGCAUGUUUUCCACAGAAUCAAUAAUAUCCCAAAUAAUACAUAAUAGGUUACCUUAUUAUAUGGCAAAAUUCUAAUCAUUAUAUCUUAAUAAAUAAUUAAAUUAUUAAACGACAUGCUUCUUAUAAGCAUCCAAUCUCUUUUAAAAAUUACAAUUAGUUUACUUAUUAUCUUAGGGUGCAGGUGUUUGAUAACAACAGGACUCUCAGGUUUCCUCCUCUCCACUAAAGAGUUUUCGUGCCUCCAGGAACAGAAAACCAUACCGUCAGAGGCUGUCUGAACAACCCUGCUGGGUAAGAAUUCCUAUACAUGCUUACUAUCUACAGCUCUCAUUUAGUUUCCCAUGUUAAGUUCUACGAGAGACAAAUCCUCCGGUUUCGGUCCAAUCAGAAAAUUUGUUCCCAGUAUCGCCCAACCACUUUUUCUUUGUCAAGUGCUGGUGAUUGUAUCGCAAGAUGCCUUCUCGUUUAGAAGGUGUUUGCCUGUCAUGGUUUCUACAUAAGGAUUAAGUAAAUAUAAGUAUCGAUUGGCUAUACCUUCAAGCUAACCCUUUUCAGGACCUGUUAAAUAAUAUGCUCCCCCAAAAGGCAUUCUCCUUUACACUUUAAUUCAACAAAGACCUCAUCCGCAACUGCUUCAACUCUCGAUCCUCCAUCCUCAAUAGGUGAUGUUUCACAUUUGACAUGCAGUGCUUGGCUCACAUCAAUCCCCACGUUGGAGCUGAAAGUCAUAGAACUUUACUCGACUUAAUAAGUGUCGGGGACGAUCAUGAAUGUACGCAGAUCCCAUAUUUCCUUCGUUCUAAAGUCCGCGUAGGCGAUUACCAAAACUAGGUUUAUUUAGGUAGGACCCCUCCUCAAUUGUAACUCUCAUACAAACUCUCGAAUAUUCAGUUGGGUGAAUAACAUCCUUAUUCCAAUCCAUCAUAUGGAUUAAUUCCCAUCUUGCUUCUAACAUAUAUAUAAUCUUAUUAUAAUUUGUUUAGUUUAAGUUUGAACCCCCAUUUGUUUUUAACAGUUGGAUAUUACAAUCUAUCCCAUCGCACUUACUAAUGAUAUAGAUUCAUGCACCUCGCGUAGGCGAAACCUCCUACCAUAUCCCUAAUCCUAGUCCUGAGAAACCAUGGGAGACAUCAUGAGUAGUUUAAAGCAAAACUUUUCGCAAGAAAGGCCACUGAAAACUUCAGAUAUUGCGAGUAAAGUUUGAGCGAUACGGGGAAUAGGCUACAUUCGCAAUUCUCUGAGCUUACUCCUGAUCUCUCCACCGAAUGCUGAUGAAGGCACCAAUAAAUCGAGUGUCAACCAUUCUUGGACCUUCACGGGCGCCCCAAUACCAGUUAUCGGAGUAACACGAAAGAAACACAUGAUAUCCCUCUUGGAGACUCAAUGUGACUUCCUCCGCUUAUAAUGCUAACUCUUCUGACGACUUCCUGCGCAAUUCCAUCUUAUCCUGAAUUCUCUUAUACUUUUCUGUAGUUUGUUGAAACAUCUCCGGUCCAACCACAGCACUCUCACCGGAUCAAUCCAACAUUAAAGGUGGUCCGACAUCUCCUACCAUCAAGCUUCAACAACGGUGCUCAUCGGCACUUGUUUAUCAUAUACAAGUCCGUCUCUCACACCUAGACUAACUCUCACAAUUCGAAAUUAUUGAGUUGUACGGAUAGUUCCAACAUCCUCCAACAACUUCAACACAAUGGCAGGUCAAAUAACCCAAUCCAUCCAAGACCAUACCACUCCCUUAAUUGAAAUUUAUGCGCAUAAUCAUGACGCCCAGCAGCCCUAUCGCAAAAAGAGCUAUCUAAUCGUUCUCGUGACUGAAUCCGAGUACCAAUCCUCGAGAGAACCUAAGCUAACCUAUCAGUUCUGAAUACACAUGAUCUAAGCUUCUUCCCCCAGCCCAAAAUAUGGCGGCGCGAAGAAUAUUACUGCCUAUGAACAACAUCGCAGUUGUUCUCCCACACCUUAGUUCCAAAGUCUCCUGCAAACCUUCUUUAGUCAUUGACACUCUCUUGAAACUUCUCGAUGUAAAAUCUAUGAUAGACGGUAUAUCCUCUGUCCAGAAACAACUGACUACCCGCAGACGAUGUCAAUUUACCAAGGUAUUGUCCAACCUCCUCACGAAUCCCUUCCUCAUAUAUGAUCUUCACUUCCGCGCAAAUAUCUUCUUCUCUACUCUUUCCUUCAACCAGUAUUGGAUUAAUUGCCAAUUCUAAAUCCCAGUUCCAAGAAUGAAGAAAAAAUGAGUCCCGCGUACUUUUACAUACGAGGGUGCAAAUGCUUUGAGAUAAGCUAAACAUCACACGAAUAUUAAGCUCUUUACAUGUAAGAGAUCAAAAGGAGAGCGCAUGGCCUACACAAAUUGCUUACUUCCGUGCACUCCAUGCAGGUCGUAUUAGAAAAAAAAAAAAAAAAAGUAACGGAGAGACUAAGGCCAUAACUGAUCACGCACAGCAAACCAGAAAAACAAAAGUCCCAAUUAACUAUAAAAUAAAACCACAUUGUGUUGCCCAUCUAUUACAUUUUAAUCGUUCCUGCCACUCUGGAAUAAUUGACAAAAUUAAUUAAAAACAACAGAUUUUUGUCAUAUAGCAUUUCCAGGACGGCGAUUCUGAUGUUCACAGUGCUUCGACUUUCUGAAGCAACGUCAAACAAGGGAAUAACCUACAAAACUUGCAAUUUCCUGUCCAGUAUAUCAUUGCCCUUUAGCCGGGGGCACCGAAAAUAAUGCUUAUUCAAGCGACUCAUCGAACUACAUUCUUGCGUAGCUCCGACGGGGGGAUGAAUACUCAAACCUAUGGCAUGGGACGAUGUCCUGUCACUUGCGCCCCAAGAAUACUCUCUUCUUGGUACCUCAAUCAAACAUACUGAAUACAAUAUCUCUAAUGAACCAUAUUUCAUCGAUUGUAUAUAUAAACUGGACAUUGUUUUGCAUGAACACACCCUUGCGUAGUCAACAACAAAGAUCAACAGUGUCACCCAAAACCAAAAUUUUGACUCUGGGGGUGUGACGACCGUAUUCUUCCAUCAACCGAUCAGGCGUGUGAAUCGGCGGAUCUCGUAACACCAGGCGCCAUGCAGAAAGUGUGACCGUUCAGCGUCCUACAGGGACCACGUUACGGACCUGACGUUCACCUAAAAGUCACUUAUAACAAACGCCAAAAGCAUAUCAAGCAUUUUGACCCCACACUCUGAUUUCAUGGCUCCCAACAAAAAUACCACUUGUCAACAAAUUACCCACACUCUCCACUUUAGACACCUUAAGUUGAAUUGUUGGUACGUCUGAUCGACACCCGCUGCUUGACCGUACACUCAAGUCGUCCUUAAACUGGCUGACACAAGCAAAGCAUGUGACGACACCAUAACAGUCAAGCACGCCGUGGCACCUUCAAAUCCCAAUUCUCUAAACCGCCAUGUAACAUAGACAUAUGUAAUGACUUUCCGACUCAAUGCAUAGCUACUGACAUUUGCUUUACCCGAUGGUAAUUCAAACCGAACAAUCAUAAUCCCUCUCAGAAAUUCCUAACCACCUCCUCUGUCUCAUUCCAGCUCUUUCUGAUCAACAAAUACUUGAAACUUUUAUGGUCCUGAAAACUUCAAAUCUUGACCCAUACAAGUAAUGCCGAGCUCACUCCAAUGAACUUCAGAACAAAUACUACAGCUCCAGCAGCAAAAUACAACUUCAAACUUUGGAAAUUAACGCCAGUCGUGACAAAUAGUUCCUAGACCUCGUGUUCAUGAAACCCAGCAAAGCCUAUCAAUAAUCACACCUCUUCUUGACUCUCGAAGCAUGGCAAGGCACUAAACCUGCUUAAUCCUUUCUUGUGAGCGCUAGCAUCCAAUCUAUUAUGCGCUAAAACAGGUGUUUCAGAUCGGAUUGAGACUCCCUAUGGGUAUAUGCAUACAGCGCACAUCAAUUUAGACGCGUUCAAACACACUCUCGAUUAGUUGAUUUGGUCUUCAGUUGAUUCGGAAUCAAUCAGGGUAUUUGCUUCACCAUAUCUAAUGGUCUGUGUAUUGUUUUCUCGAAAGCAAAAUGACAUUUGUUUUGAUCCGCGUUGAUCAAAGGUUCAAGUGAAAACAUCGACAUCGGGCCAGCAAUUUAGUGUUUUUUUAGGGCGAACACCUUGUCUGGAAACAGCUAUGAAUGAAAACAGAAUCAUUAUAUUAGUUUGGGAUAAUCCACUAUAUAUCCUCCGAGAACUAAUUCUGGACAGCUAGUGGUUUCGCCCAUUAAAGAGGAGUAUGCAUAAAAAAGAAGUAAGAUUAACUUGAGAUUGCUAUCAUAAAUACUUAAUUGACCGCCUAAUACUCCCGACUGAUCUCAACUAUUGCUUUAACAAAUUGCGUAACCUACUUCUGGCGAAGUCUAGAGAUGUAUCCCAAGGCAGUCGCUAUACAUCACCACUACCAGCUGCUAAUGUCUUCGGUCAAUCCGAAGCAUAGUCAAACAUCAAUCAUCGCAACUAUAAUACACUCUUGAUGCCAAUCAUUAUUACCGUUUAUAUAAUUGAUCUUUCACGUUCGUCGUGUAAGUAUUCUGUUCAUUUUUAAGAGGGUCAUUUAUUUAUUAUGUGAAUAGCUUCAACCAUGCAUUGGGUUUCGGAAAAGUUUAAACCCUUGUACUUUCGCUAUCGCCUGGUUUCACGCUGAUGUCAUGUGGUUCUGCGGUUUAAGGGUGGUUGGGCAGAUUGUCGGUCUGUUUGCUGCUUUGGCGGGAUAUUCUCGUUGGGUCGCUACUUUGACGUUUCGUGAGCCAUGACAACCCGUGUUGAUCCGAAGAGUAUUUUGUUUUUUGAUGCUGAGUCUCAGUCAAUGAGGUCGCCAGACUGGUGGGUAGAUGUAAUAUGUGUUCUGCUUUUUGUAGAGAGUCCUUAGCGCAAUUGGGUCUAUGGAAUUCAGGUUGUAGUAGGAUUGUGGUGUGUUAGAGUUUUACUCUUGUGAACGGUGUGAAAGUUACGCUGUGGUGGCAGAUCGUCUUUUGUGGACGAUCGUUAAGUGUGAGCUUCUGUUUUGAUGUCAGUGUUUGAUUCCAGGUCGAUUGAGCGAUCAUCGAACCUGAUAGUUUUUAUAUUCGAUCGACUAUCUGCUUAGACCGUUAUGUUCUUCUGGUAGCGCCCUCGGGAGGGUGGCGCACGUCUUCACGUUUUAUGCUGGUAAUUACCUGGUGUUGAGUUCCUCUUCUAUAUGUUCUACGCCAAGUUGGGACUUGGCAAUGCGCAUUACGGUCCAGAAAGUGAAGGCUUUGAGUGCAGAGGAGGAGGGCAUCCGGCACAGGUUGAUGUGCAUGAGUAAAUCAGAGUGGGAGAAGAUGUGGCAGUCGGUAUUGCAACAAGUAUGAUUUGUGUUUCUGGUCGCUAUGGACCCCUCGGGCUGUGGAAAUCGAAUCUUCUGCAGAAAUCUUUGGAACCGCAUUAGGAGGUGUUACUAUUGUUGUCUUUUAAUGGCAUCGGACAGAGUAACCGAGCUCUCAUGGUUCCGUGGUCCCCGGCCUUUUAAGACUGGAUUAUCCGUCUCGGCAGGAGACUAAAAUUGGACAAGGCGCCCCACCUUGAAGUGUUAUUUGUAUUUAGGGUGCAACCUAUCUUAUAAUAUGGUGUGAAGAUUGCUGGCCAUCGCGAAAAUAUCACUUAAGCCCGUCGAGUCGUAAUUGUGGUUUAACCCUCUCUACAGAGAAUCCUAGAUUUUACACCAUGAUCUGAAGUUCUGGGAAGGUUGCAGGAGCUUUGGGAAUUCAGUUGAGGAUUGAGUUCUGCAUCUUACACCAAUAUCUCGCGUAUUCAACCUUAUGUGGGUAGCUGCCCCUAAGAGAGGUACACGUUCACAGUGUCAUCUAAGGGAAUCCUCUACGUUUUAUGAGUACGUUUGAUGUUUAACUCUAGUUGAAAAAGGGAGCGACUCGCUUGGGAUUGUAUCGCUCCUUUUUGAACAGAUGAUAGUUCCAAUCUAGUUACUUACCUCCACAAUAGUUUUCAAUCCCGAGUAUUCGGUCGGUCUAUCUCAAUACAAUACGGUUUGAGACUUUGUAUGUAGGAAGCUGUCGUUCUUGGUUGGGUUGCAUGGGUGAGCGUGUGGUGGUUGGCUGGAUUGUUCUAACACGUCCUUCAACUGGAUGUGUGCGACGUCACUACAGGACAUGAAGAUUAUCAGAUGAAAUGGGUUUUUCGGUUAGACGUAGUGGACAUUAAUAGUUGAUGUAAAUUAAUCACGCACGGCCGAGUCUCCACACGAAAAUUAGAGGAUAUAUUAUACAUUGAACAAUUAAAGCACGGAAGGUAGAAGAGGCGGUAUUCUUGAAGGUUCCAAGAGGGAGAUUCAGCAACUACAUGACUCGCUCAAACCUGUUUCUUUUUUCCGUGUUACAUCGACACGAAAGACGAUCGAUCGGAUCUGAACAUUAACCUCUUCUUCUUGCUUGAUGGGUUUACAUACUUAUGUGUAUAAUUACGGCGGUGCCGUCUUUUGUAUCGCCCGUUUAGUUGCGAGUCUUAUUCCAGAGCUUCUGGCGGACAAGCUGGCGGUAAGGUCAGCCUCUCCGUGUUCGCUUUGACCCAGCUCCAUGUCGCUUGUCGGACUACUUUGCCAUGAUGCUGUUCCAUGCGUACUGCAUCUGAAGUGAUAAGGUAGAUUCAUGAAUCCGUCGCAGUCUAAUUAGAAAGUUAGACAUUUGAUUGAGUCUAACAGCGUGAGAGAUCGACCCUGACUGUUGAAACCACUCACCUAUGAGGAAUGAGCGAUCGAACCGGUCUGUAAGUACUAGGUUUGCGGGGCAUGGGAAUCGAGGGCAAGAUUCCUAUGGUCUCUAUGUGGGUUGCAACGGUGCUUCGAGGAUGUGCCCAUCCAGCCAGGUGGCGAGAUGCAAUGUGACUCUUGGGUUCGAUCUGGAUAGUACUGGAGAACGUAACAGUCAUGAAGCUGAGUAAUUACUUAUGCGUNGGAGUACCCAUCAACUGUCUUUAUGGUUAUCCAGUUACGGACAACGUUGGAUCAGCAAUAAAGCACUCGACUCUACAUCUAGGGUCCAUAGUGGUUUCAGGUCGAAGAGUGGUAUACACCAUUAUCACCAUGAGAAUAACUUAUGACACUUCACAUAACUUUCUAUAUAGUAUUCUCAUAGCGGGUCAAUCUGGUAUAAAUAUUACUCCUAAUAUUUAUACAUAUGUUUAAGACUUGAUAAUUCUUUAUCCAUGAUCCAUGAGAUGUGAUCAUCAGUCUACAAACAUAAUAGUCUUAAUGCUUUAGUGUUAUCCCACUUCACACUAAAGCUCGACUACUGAUACUUUAAGAAUAGUGUCCUUAUGUUUAAUGUGUUCUCAUGAUUAAGUCACACUUAAUACAUUAAACGGACUAUCUAUUCUAGGGACUUUAUUAAUCAACCAUAAUAAAGAAAAAGCCUUUUAUUAAUUCGAUACAAGUACCAAAAAGUAUUGGCCUCUAGGGCUUACACCAACAAUACUUGUAUUGGUUCAUCUGACACAAGGUCAAUAAUGAACCAAUUAGCCUUAUGACAUUAGAGAUUUCAUUGGUCUAAUAAGGGAAUGGGAAAGAAUAGGGAUGAAGAUGAAGAGUGUAACACCCUUCUAAAAAUACCCCAAAAAAAUUUAACUAAAAUAAUAAACAUAUAUCAAUCAGAGUAAUUAUACCCUUCAAGGGUGUCACACAAUCACUUCACACCAUUCACCAUAAUACUGUCAUGCUCUUUUAUUAAUUCAAAAAUAAACAUUUGCACAAUACGCAGCGGAUAGAAAUCAACAACAUGCAAACAUGUAACACAUUACAGUAAAUAUUCAACAACCAACAAUGAAAAAAGUAAAACAUCCCUCCCGAUGUUACAUCUACAGAGCAAGACCCACUAAGGAACUACACUAGACUCCAAGGACUAGCUCUACUCAAUCACUGCUCGUUACCUGAAAAAUAGUUGUAAGGUGAGUUCCUCAAUCAUAUAAUAAGCAUUAUAAAAAUAUCAUGUAAUGCUAAGUAAUUAACACAUUAUCAUCACCCUAAUCAGAUCACACAUUCAGCAACGCAAAUCAAUCAAUCAUCAUCAUCAUCAUACUCAACUCAACACAACAAAACACACGUAUAAUAUUGGAAUACAUCCAUUCAUAUUAUACGCCAUACAUAUACAUUAUGCAAUGAGACUCCAUGCAUGCGGUACCGACUAUUCGUGAACAUAUAGUUCAACCUCACCAUCAAACCAGAUACGGCUACCAAGCCCACUAGUCCCACUCAUUUGAGACCUAGUGACUCACUCACUAAUUCCUCACCAUGGGAAUUAGCUACCACCCCAAGGGCUAUGUAUGCACGCUAAUCACUAGCAUGCAAACAUCAACAACAUCCACAAUGAUUCACUCACUAAUUCCUCACCAUGGGAAUUAGCUACCACCAUAAAGGCCACAAUAUGCAAGCUAAAUCACUAGCAUGCAAACAUCAACAACAUCCACAAUGGACAUAUGCUCACACUCUAAGCCAUAAACAGUCCAUUCAAAUUCAUACAUAUAGAUACAUUCACACAUUAUCAUAUCAUACAUCAUCACUACAUCAUCAUAUUACACAUAAUCAUAUCAUGUCAUCCAAUAAUCAAUCACAGUAUUAGACACACUCUACUAAUACCUAUACUACUCAAACAACGGGAAAUGAUCCCUACUUAUCAUACAUCAGCUAAAUUACAUACUCAGCUGAAACAACCAAAACUGCACACAACAGCACAGAAAAAUCACAAUCUGCCCAUACGCGUAUGCCUAGUCCCAUACGCGUAUGGCCCAUUCUCACCAAUCCCAUACGCGUACCCUAUCUCCAUACGCGUAUGCUACGCGUACCACUUCCCCAUACGCGUACCAACAGAGACCAAACCACGUUCAAAACAUCAUCUUCCUCAUCCAUACGCGUAUUGCCUAGUGCCAUACGCGUACCAGCCAUCUCAUACGCGUAUUGCCUAGUGCCAUACGCGUAUGACCAGAAACCAGAUUUCCAGAUCUGCUAUGGUUUUCUCUGCUACGAGAUUCUCCAAUUCAACCUUCCACAGUCCAAUUUUACCAUAAUCGUUCAUAUCAUUAUCAACACAUUAUCCCUAUUCGAUUUCACAAAUUCUAACAUUUUACAUCUAAUUCCUACGAAUUCCUUCAAUUAUAAUCCAAUUUCGUUCAUCCAAUAUUCACAAUUUUCAGCAUACAUCAUUCAAUCAGAGUCAAAUCAUGGUUAUCACUACCCAUACAUGUUAUCCCAUAAUACCCAUUAAACGACGAUAAACCCCCUUACCUGAGUUAAUCCGGCAAAUCCUAGCUUCAAGCUCUUUCCUCUCUUCAACCCUUGUUCUCUGCUCUCUUUGCCCUUUUCCACUUUUCUGUCCCUUUUUCCUUUUCACGUGAAAAAACCCUUUUUACCAAAUGGACCUUUUCUAAUUCCAACUUUUAUUCCAAUAAAAUAAUAAUCCAAUAAUUUUCUAAUUAUUUAAUUAAAUUAAUAAAUAAAAUAUUAACUUAAUUUAAACAAUUAUCUUAAUUUCAUCGGGGUGCUACAACUCUCCCCCACUAAAAGAGUUUUCGUCCUCGAAAACAUACCUCAAGCGAAUAACUCGGGAUAAGACUCCUUCAUCUGACUCUCCAGUUCCCAAGUCACAUUGCCACCUGGUGGUCCUCCCCAAGCUACCUUAACCAAAGCAAUUUCUUUACCCCGCAACUGCUUCAACUCUCGAUCCUCGAUCCUCAUAGGUGAUGUUUCAACAGUCAAGUUAUCUCUCACCUGUACAUCAUCUACUUGGACUACAUGCGACGGAUCAUGAAUGUACCUCCGCAACUGAGACACAUGAAAAACCUCAUGCAAAUUCGCAAGCGACGGCGGUAAGGCGAUACGAUAGGCUACCCCUCCUAUCCUCUCCAAAAUCUGAUAAGGGCCAAUAAAUCGAGGUGUUAACUUCUUCGACUUCAAAGCUCGACCAACCCCAGUUGUCGGAGUAACACGAAGAAACACAUGAUCUCCCUCUUGGAACUCAAGUGACUUCCUCCUCUUGUCAUGAUAACUCUUCUGACGACUCUGAGCAAUUCUCAUCUUCUCCUGAAUCAUCUUAAUCUUUCCGUAGUUUUGUUGAGAACAAUGUCCGGUCCACCACAGCACUCUUCUCACCGGACUCAUACCAACAUAAAGGUGUCCGACAUCUCCUACCAUACAAAGCUUCAAACGGUGCCAUACCAAUGCUCGAAUGAAAACUAUUGUUGUAGGUAAACUCAACCAAAGGUAAAUAACCAUCCCAAGCACCUCCUUUUUCCAAAACACAAGCUCUCAAAUGAUCCUCAAGUGACUGAAUCGUCCUCUCAGUCUGACCAUCAGUCUGCGGAUGAUAUGCAGAACUCAAUCUCAGCUUAGUUCCCAAAGCCUUCUGCAAACCUUCCCAGAAUUUUGAUGUAAAUCUAGGAUCUCUGUCCGAAACAAUGCUAGACGGAAUACCGUGCAAACUUACAAUCUUCUCAAUAUACAACUCGGCUAAUCUCUCUAACGGAUAAUCCAUUCGGAUUGGAAUGAAAUGAGCCGACUUCGUCAAUCUGUCAACAAUCACCCAAAUAGCUUCAAAAUUCUUACUCGUCCUCGGUAAACCAGAAACAAAAUCCAUUGACUAUGACAGGGUGAAGGUGAGACCUUAUCGGUUGCCAACGAUUAGCCCAGACGACUUCUGAUGCUCAAUCUUUGACUUCUGACAAGUCAAACAAGAAUAAACAAAACUUGCAAUUUCCUUUUUCAUUCCCGGCCACCAAAAUAACUUUCUCAAAUCACGAUACAUCUUCGUAGCUCCAGGAUGAAUACUCAGACCACUACGAUGUCCUUCUUCAAGAAUACUCUUCUUAAGCUCGGUAACAUCCGGAAUACACACCCGAUUACCAAAUUUCAAAACACUAUUCUCAUCAACUCUGAAUUCACCACUUUGACCUUGAUUCACUAAAGUCAAUUUAUCAACCAAAAGCACAUCGGAUUUCUGACCUUCUCUAAUCUCAUCCAGAAUACUACUCGUUAACUUCAACAUUCCCAAUUUAACACUAUGGUGAGUACUCUCACACACCAUUGAGUUCAGAGAUUUGACGAGUUAAUUUAGGUUAAGGAAUUGGUAAUACAUAGACAUAUGCAAUGAUUUCCGACUCAAUGCAUCAGCCACUACGUUUGCUUUACCCGGAUGAUAAUUCAAACCAAAAUCAUAAUCUUUCAGAAAUUCUAACCAUCUCCUCUGUCUCAUAUUCCGCUCUUUCUGAUCAAACAAAUACUUUAAACUCUUAUGGUCACUGAAAACCUCAAAUCUUGACCCGUACAAGUAAUGCCUCCAUAAUUUCAGAACAAAUACCACAGCUGCCAACUCUAAAUCAUGCGUCGGGUAGUUCCUCUCAUGAACCCUUAGUUGUCUCGAAGCAUAUGCUACAACCUGCUUAUUCUGCAUCAACACACCACCCAAACCCAACAACGAAGCAUCACAGUAAACCUCAAAUGAUUCGGACGGACUCGGUAAUAUCAGAACAGGAGCAGUAGUUAACCUUCUCUUUAACUCUUGGAAACCUUCUUCACAUUUUGGGUCCCAAACAAACGCUUGCCCCUUUCUAGUCAACAUCGUCAACGGUAACGCCAACUUAGAAAAUCCCUCAAUGAUCACCAAAUAACUUGUCAUGCUCAUUUAUUAAUCAAAAUAAAACAUUGCACAAUUCGCAGCGGAUAGAAAUCUAACAACAUCAACCAUGUAACACUUACAUGUAAAAUUGUUCAACAACAACAUGAAAAACAAGUAAAACAUCCCGUCCCGAUGUUACAUUACCAGAGCAUGACCACUAAGGAACUACACUAGACUCCAAGCACUAGCUUCUACUCAAUCACUGCUCUCGUUACCUGAAAAUAGUUGUAAGGGUGAGUUCCUCAAUCGAUAUAAUAAGCAUUAAUAAAUAUCAUGUAUGUUAAGUAAUUAACACAUUCAUCACCCUAAUCAUAUCACACAUUCAGCAAACGGCACAUAUCAACUCAUAAUCAUACUCAACACAAACACAAAACACACGUAUAUAUUGGAAUACAUCCAUUCAUAUUAUACGCCAUACAUACAUUAUGAAUGAGACUCCAUGCAUGCGGUACCGACUAUUCGUGAACAAUAGUUCAACCUCACCGAUCAAACCCAGAUACGGCUACCAAGCUCACUAGUCCCACUCAUUUGAGACCUAGUGACUCACUCACUAAUUCCUCACCAUGGGAAUUAGCUACCACCAUAAAGGCCAUGCUAUGCACGCUAAAUCACCUAGCAUGCAAACAUCAACAACAAUCCACAAUGGACAUAUGCUCACACUCUAAGCCAUAAAACGUCCAUCCACAAUUGCAUACAUAAUAGAUAAUUCACAGCAUUAUGCAUACCAUCAUACAUCAUCAGCAUAUUAUCACAAAAUCAUAUCAUGUCAUGCAAAUAAUAAAUCACAGUAUUACACACUCUACUAAUACUUAUACUCUCAAAACAACGGGAAAUGAUCCCUACUAUAUCAUACAUCAGCUAAAUUACUCACUCACUGAAACACAAAACUGCACAACAACAGUAAGAAAAUCAAAUUCUGCCAUACCGUACCUAGCCUACGCGUAUGCCAUUCCAUACCAAGCCCAUACGCGUAUGGCCUGUCUCAUACGCGUAUGCUACGCGUACACUUCUCAUACGCGUACCAACAGAGACAACUACGUUAAACAUCAUCUCUUUCAUCAUACGCGUAUGGCCUCAUCCCAUACGGUACCACUCACGCUAUACGCGUAUCACGCGUAUGGCGUAUCAGCACGCAUCUCCCCUCUCCAGCCAUCUCAUACGCGUAUGGCCUAGUGCAUACGCGUAUGAAAGAAACCAAAUUCCAGAUCUGCUAUGGUUUUCUCUGCUACGAGAUUUCUCAGAUCCAACCUCCCACAGUCCAAUUUUUACAACAGCAUUCGUUCAUAUAUCUAACACAGAUCAUACCAUUCAUUUCACAAUUUUAACCUUAUUAAUCUAAUUCCUACGAAUUUCUUCAAUUAUAACUCAUAUCUCAUUCAUCCAUAAUUUCACAAUUUCACAUUCACAUCCUAUUAGAGUCAAUUCAAUGGCUUAUACUCCCAUUACAUGUUAACCCAUAUACCCAUUAAACGACGAUAAACCCCCCUUACCUGAGUUAAUCCGGCAAUUAUCUCUUUACCUUCAACUCUCUCUCCUCUGCCCUGCCUCUUUUCUCCCUUUCUCAGUUCUUCUCUGUUUUCACGUGAAAACCUUUUUUACCAAAUGGGACUCUUUACUAUUCCAACUUUAUUUAUUCCAAUAAUAAUAAUCCAAUAAUAUUCCAAUUUUUAAUUAAAUUAAUAAAUAUACUAAUAAUAAUAUAUAUGAAGUUUAUCUUUUAUUUUGAAAAAUAAUACCCUCUCAUUCAUAUUAUCAUCAUAAUAUACUAUUAAACUUAAAUAAUAAUUAUCAUAUUUUCCCACGGUGACACACUCGGACGAAUAAACUUCUUAUCCAACAGAUCUUCCAACUGACUCUUCAAUUCAGUUAACUCAACAGCAGACAUACGGUACGGAGCCAUCGAUAUCGGUCUAGUACCAGAUACCAAAUCAAUCGAGAACUCAACUUCACGCUCUGGUGGUAAUUCAUUCACUUCUUCAGGAAAUACAUCAGGAAAAUCACACACCACGGCUAGAUCGCCAAUCACCAGUUUAUCUCUAGCUUCCAAAGUUGCUAACAGCAUAAACAACUCUGCCCCAUCUACUACCGCCUCAUUCACCUGCCUUGCUGAUAGAAACAAAUUCUUUCCUUCCUCAAUCUCAGAAAAGAUCACAGUCUUAUCAAAACAGUUGAUAUAAACUCGGUUAAACACCAACCAGUUCAUACCCAAGAUAACAUCAAUCUGCACUAACGGAAGACACACAAGGUCUAUACCAAAGUCUCUACCAAAAAUACUCAAAGGACAAUUCAAACAAACUGAAGUAGUAGUCACUGAACCCUUCGCAGGAGUAUCAAUCACCAUACGACCAUGCAUCUCAGAUAUCUCUAACUUAAGUUUCACAGCACAAUCCAAAGAUAUAAAAGAAUGAGUAGCACCGGUGUCAAUAAUAGCUACAAGAGGAAAGCCAUUUAUAUAACACGUACCUCUGAUCAAACGAUCAUCUGCAGAAGUCUCAGAACCCGCUAGAGCAAAAACCUUGCCUCCCGACUGAUUCUCCUUCUUCGGUUUAGGGCACUGUGGGCUGAUAUGACCCACCUCUCCACAGUUGAAGCAAGUCACAGUCUUCAACCGGCAAUCUGCAGCCAAGUGACCACCUUUUCCACACUUGAAACACUUCUUCUCAGCACUAGUACAUUCGUGGAAACGAUGUCCAGCCUGACCACAUCUGUAACACUUAGCAGGAGCACUAGAAUCUCCCCCACUAGGCUUCUUUAUCCCACUCUGUCUCUGGAAACCUUUGCCAGCUGCAUACGGUUUCCCACGAUCAAUUUGAUUCUUGCCUUUCCUAUCAACCCUUUGCUGAUAGCUCUCUGCUCUAGCCUUGGAAUCCUGUUCAAAAAUCCUGCAACAGUCAACCAAAUCAGAAAACACCCUGAUUCGCUGAUAUCCAAUCGCCUGCUUGAUCUCGGGAAUAGCCUUGGAAUCCUGUUCAAAAAUCCUGCAACAGUCAACCAAAUCAGAAAACACCCUGAUUCGCUGAUAUCCAAUCGCCUGCUUGAUCUCGGGACGCAACCCGUUCUCAAACUUCACACAUUUGGAGAAUUCCCCAGUAGCCUCACUAUAGGGAGUAUAAUACUUUGACAGCUCUGUGAACUUAGCAGCAUACUCAGUAACCGACCGGUUACCCUGCUUCAAUUCCAAGAACUCUAUCUCUUUCUUUCCUCUGACAUCCUCUGGAAAGUACUUCCUCAGAAAUCUCUCUCUGAACACUGCCCAAGUAAUCUCAGCAUUCCCUGCAGUUUCCAACUCAGUGCGGGUAGCAACCCACCAAUCAUCAGCUUCUUCUGACAGCAUAUGCGUACCGAACCUGACCUUCUGGUUAUCGGCACACUCGGUCACUCUGAAGAUUCUCUCGAUCUCCUUCAACCACUUCUGAGCACCAUCUGGAUCGUAUGCUCCCUUGAACAUUGGAGGAUUAUUCUUCUGGAACUCACUCAGUUGACGAGCAGCUCCCAUUCCUACAACAUUCGGAUUUCCUCCAAGUACUCCAGCCAGCAUACCCAGAGCCUCAGCAAUCGCAGCAUCGUCUCUACCUCUUCCAGACAUCUCAAUCUGAAAGUCCAACAAGCUAAACAAUAAGUACUGAUAGGGUUACACAACACCUAUCCCGUACAGGGAAACGGAAUAAUUACGACUCGACUCGACCGACUAUGCUCUGAUACCACUAAUGUAACACCCUUCUAAAAAUACCCCAAAAAAAUUUAACUAAAAUAAUAAACAUAUAUCAAUCAGAGUAAUUAUACCCUUCAAGGGUGUCACACAAUCACUUCACACCAAUCAUCAAAUAUCCUGUCAUGCUCAUUUAUUUAAUCAAUAAAAAUUUGCAUAAUUCGCAGGGAUACAAAAAUAACAACAUCCAAAUCAUGUAACACAUUACAUGUAAAUGUUCAACAACCAAAGAAAACAUAGUAAACAAUCCCUCCCGAUGUUACAUCUACCAGAGCAUGACCCACUAAGGACUACACUAGACCCAAGACUAGCUUCUAUCAAUCACUGCUCGUUACCUGAAAAAUAUUGUAAGGGUGAGUUCCUCAAUCGAUAUAAUAGCAUUUAAAUAUCAUGUAAUGUAAGUAAUAUAACACAUCAUCACCUAAUCAAAUACACAUAUCCAACGCAAUAUCAACUAAUAAUCAUCACAUCAUCAUACUCAAAUCAAACAACCAAAAAACACACGUAUAAUAUUGGAAUCAUCCAUUCAUAUUAUACGCCAUACAUACAUAUAUAUGCAAUGAGACUCCAUGCAUGCGGUACCGACUAUCGUGAACAUAUAGUUCAACCUCACCGAUCAAAUCCAGUACGGCUACCAAGCUCACUAGUCCCAUCUCAUUUGAGACCUAGUGACUCACUCACUAAUUCCUCACCAUGGGAAUUAGCUACCACCCCAAGGGCUAUGCUAUGCACGCUAAUCACCUAGCAUGCAAACAUCACACAUCACAAAACUCAUCACUAAUUCCUCACCAUGGGAAUUAGCUACCACCAUAAAGGCCACAAAUGCAUGCUAUCACCUAGCAAUGCACAACUCAACAACAAUUCAAGAAUAGAAUAUGCUCACACUCUAAGCCAUAAAACAGUCUAUUCACAAUGCACACAUAACUGAUACAUUCACAGCAUCAUGCAUACAUCACACAUCAUCAUAUUUUAUCAAAUAAGCUUAUCAUAUCAUGCAAAUACACCAGUAUUAGCACACUCUACUAAUACCUAUACUACUCAACAAGGAAAUGAUCCCUAAUAUAUCAUACAUCACUAAUUACUUACUCAGCUGAACAAAAAACUGCACAACAACAGCUCAGAAAAUCACAAUCCUGCCCAUACGCGUAUUGCCUACCCCAUACGCGUAUGCCCAUUCCUCAGCCAAUCCAUACGCGUAACCAUCCAUACGCGUAUGCUACGCGUACCACUUCCCAUACGCGUACCAACAGAGACAACUCGUUCAAAACAUCAUCUUCCUCAUCCAUACGCGUAUUGCCUAGUGCCAUACGCGUACCAGCCAUCUCAUACGCGUAUUGCCUAGUGCCAUACGCGUAUGACCAGAAACCAGAUUUCCAGAUCUGCAAUGGCUUUCUCUGCUACGAGAUCUAUCCAUUCAACUUCCACGUCCAAUUUUACACAAAAUCGUUCAUAUCAUCUAACACGAAUCAUACCUAUUCGAUUUCACAAUUCUAACACUUUUACAUCUAAUUCUACGAAUUCCUUCAAUAUAAUCCAAUUUUCAUUCAUCCAUUUCACAAUUUCAUCAUCAUCAUUCAAUCAGGGACAAUCAAUGUUAUCACUACCCAUACAUUUAUCCCAUAAUACCCAUUAACGAGAUAAACCCCCCUUACCUGAGUUAAUCCGGCAAUCUCUGAGCUUCAAGCUUUCCUCUCUCAACCUUGUUCUCUGGCUCUCUUUGCCCUUUUCCACUUUCUGUCUCUUUUUCCUUUUCACGUGAAAAUAACCUUUUUACUAAAUGGGACCUUUUUCUAACUUCCAACUUUUAUUCCAAUAAAAUAAUAAAAAAAUAUGACCCCAAUAAUAAUAUUAAUAAUCCAAUAAUUUUCUAAUUAUUUAAUUAAAUUAAUAAAUAAAAUAUUAACUUAAUUUAAACAAUUAUCUUAAUUUCAUCGGGGUGUUACAAAGAGGGUGAGACAUAUCUCAAUAAUACUUAUAUUGGUUCAUCUGACACAAGGUUAUUGAUGAACCAAUUAGCCUUAAGACAUUAGAGAUUUGAUUGGUCAAAUAAGGGAAUAGGAAAGAAUAUGGAUGAAGAUGAAGAGAGAGGGGAAGAUAGAAACACAAAUUGACCAAGGUAGGAUUUUAUCAAAUCAAAACCAGUCAUUCAUUUUGGGAUAUGAAAUGUACAUUUCAUCAAUCCCCAAAAUCCAAUGGUUUUGAUGCAACAAAAGUCAAAUCAACCUUGAUCAAGGCCCAAACAGAAAGUCAAACAUCACAAGUCCAUAAAAAUGGCUCAACAUAAUUUUUAAACAAUUAAUCAAUUAAAAAUCACAUUAAAAAUGAAUAAAAAUGCAUUUUAAUUUGGUCAAAACCUAAAAUCCCUUCAAAACACCAAAUAAAUAGUCAAGGGGUUUAUCCUAAGUCAAACAAGGUCAAAUGACCUUAGACAAAAAAAUCACUAUUUUUUGAAAGUCAGAAGUAUUUUUAAACAAUUAAAAAUAUGUACAAAAACAUUUAAUUCAUGAAAAAUAUCAAAAUUAAUCCAAAAAAUAAUUUUAAUUUAGAAUAUGUAAGAGAAAAAUAUUUAAAGAUUUUUGGUGAAAGUCCCACAUUUUUUGGAUUAAAAAUGAAAUUGAUAUGAAUUAAACAAAAUAAAAGGAUUAAAUGAAAAUUCCGAAAAUAAAAAUAAAUUAGAAAAAAUAAGGGCCAUCAGAUUUCCCUUAUUAAUUGAGGUGACAGAUCUGAUGUCUACACGUGCGUUUUCCAUGGUAGUCUUCAGUCAAUGCAAUGAACGCGUGGUAUUCAAAAGCAAUGGCUCAGAUUAUAACAUCCAAACAUGAUCAGAUGGCCAGGAAGUGUGCCAACACACCACCGGAGCUAGGGCUCCGGUCAUCUUUUCCAGUGACCUCCACUGGACUAGUCCAACUUCAUCUCAAUGGAAAAUGAAAAACAAGGACACUAUUUCAAAGAGAAAAUGCUCAGAAUCUCGAAUCUGGCCUCAAUUUUCUCCAAUUCCAAGUAUAUAAAAAGAUACAAGGAUUUGAAUUUUGAGGAUCAUUAACUGAGUUGAUUAGAUUUAACCUCAAAGCAACUCAAUCUUGUUGCCUACAUUGGUAGGACUUCAGCCAACCAAAAAUCAAAGAGAAUGGUGAAGAAUUGAGAGAGAAUCGAAGAGAUGAAGUUUCUGAAAACUCACCUUCGAGGGAGCUUGAAUGUUGCUUGAUCUUGCUUCCAAUUGGUCUUGGCUUGACUUCAGAAGCUUGCAGAAGUUGAAUUGGAUCAAGGAAAGGCUUGGAUUCUUGGAGUUUCAACUUCAAAAUUGAAGUGAAAUUGAAACUCGAUUUUCAAUUGAAAACCUUAAAGUUUAUCCUCUAAUGUGAGGGUUAGGAUUGCAGGUUCAAAGCUUGGGCAAGGUGUCCAUAAUUUUGAGCAUGAAGGGUCUUAUUUAUAGGCAAUGCAAUUGGUUUUCACACCCUUCCAUCAAACUGCCAAAAAUAGAAAACUCCACUUGCAUGGUUGCAUGGGCGUGUGAUAGGCUCAUGAAAUGAUGUAAUCAGGUCUAAAUUUCAUCAUGUGCAAUGCUGAAAGUGUGUAAUGUGAUCAUGCAAUGGAAAUUGGAAAUUGAACAUGAGAUUCAUCCAAAUGGAGCCUUGAAGAGAAACCAUACGCAAAUUAUCUAAUUCUUGGCCAAAUGAGAUGAUCUUGGACUUUUUGGAAAGGUAAGAUCAAUGGGAACAACUUUCAUAUUUAACACUUUUCCAUUUUAAGCUUGGAUUAUGAUGAAUUUUGAGGUGGAAGUUUGGAAAAUCAAACAUAAAUGAAAAUUUUCUAAGUACCAAGCCAAAUGUUCACUUCUUCCACCUUGAAUAACUUUUUCUAUGGGAUUCAAAUGGAAAAAGUUACUUCAUAAAAGUUGUAUAUAUUUAAAACCUAUUCAAUUUGGUAACAAAUUUGACCUCAUUUGGAUUUGGCAUGAAGGAUUUGUGCAUUUUAGAAGUUGAGGAAAAUCACUUGUUCAAUGGUAAUGGCCCAAAGUGACCUAUAAUGUUUCCUCUUGGCACAUGCCCUUGCAAGUUGAAUUUUAAUUUAUUACAAAAAUAAAAGUUUUAUAGGACAUAUUUAAUUUGAUCAUUAAACUUGAAUUGACUUUAUGUCAUAAAAAUUGAGCAAGUUAUGGUCCUUGGAAGUUGACCUCCUAACUAUGGUUCAGACAAAAUGACCUAUAAUCUUUCACCAUAAAAAUGACUUUCCAAGAAAAACUAGAUAUUGACUUAAACAUGAAAGUUAUUUGGAAUGUCAUAAGGAGUAACUUUAAUCUUGGAAAUAAUUUUCAUAUGACAAAAAUUGUAGGAGAUAGGGUCUAGUGAACCCCAGUUUUGACUAGUUGACUUUCUCUGGUCAACCACCAUGAACCAACUUGCAAACUUGAAAUUACAUUGAUCUUUUGGACUCAUGUAGGAUAAUAUAUGUAUAAUAUGAUGUAAUAUGAAGUAUCACUUGAAAUAUUUGAUCACAUGAUGAAGAAACUUGUUGAGGAAGUCAUACAAGAUCCCUAGAUGAAUUAGGGCUUCCAAGACAAACAAACUUCAAACUCUUGAUGAAUUCUUGAUCAAAAUAAUAAUUGGAGAUCAUGGGGAUCCAUAUAUUAUGUAUAGAGUCAAUGUAAAUCAUCUCUUGAUUAUUCUCCUUGCAUCGAGGGUCUCAAACCCUAGAUAGGAGCUUGAUGGAACAUAAGUGAGCACACACACUACCUACAAAAGAAGUGGACUAUACGUUGACAUGUUUUUGGUAUUUUGGUUAGUAAAUAAUGAAAAACAAAUUAUGAUAAAAUCAAAUGUGCUUGGUGAUUUCUCCUAAUGAAAACCCAAUGAAUGAGAGACAAGGAGGAUGCCAAGGUGUGAUCCCAAAGCCAAUGCAUAUGAUGAGAUAUCACGAGGGAUCUUAGGGUCAAAAUUGAGGUCUUAAACUCCCUGCAAGAGGAAUGACGUACCUCAAAAGGCCACUGAUGAUAUAUGCCAUCCUUAAGCUGCCUUUGAUAAGGCUUCUAUCUAGACCCUUAUGAAACCAAAAUGGAGAAAGAGGCAACCUGAGGCGAGGUAGGAGUCGAUAGGGGCUGAAACCAACUUUAGAAUAGACCAAGUGUUAUGAAGGGUGUUACUGCAAAUGCAGAAGGAUCAGAGAGACUUUUAUAAAUUUUCAAAAGGUAAUUUUGAGUGAUAAAAAAGAAGUUGAAUGAGUGGAACUAUAAUGAUGAGGUUACGCCAAUUUUCCCAGACCAUAUUUAGGGGGAACUUGAAGAAUAGGACGACCAAGAGCAGAAAGUGGAGGAAGAAAGUGAAAAGGAAAAAGGGAAGAAGUAGAAAAAGGCUAUGUCCUCUGGUGCACCAGAAGCGUCUAACUCCGACGUUCAUAAGGAGGAAAGUGCUGAGAAGCCAAGGAAGAAGGAAAGAAAGGACAAAAAAACCAAAAAAAGGAAGACUAAUGGCGUACCUGAGAAAGACACUACUAAAAAUAUUGAGGAAGAAGAUAAAAGUGAUGUUGAAGAAAGCUCUAAGGAGGAUAAGAGGACUUUAAAGGAAUUGUUGACACAAGCUGUGAAGGAUAAAAAUAAGUUGUUGGCUUAUGCAUCUGUAAGGGUGCAAAAUAAAAGGAAUAUUAAAGAAGAAGAAGUCAAUAAUGAUGAAGAGCAAGAGGAUGAAAUAAAGGAGGUUGAUAAUGAAUUGGAUGGGAAGAAGGAGGAUGGAAACAUUAUUAAAGAGGAAUAGGAAGUUGUUGAGGAAAAGAAGGACGCAACUAAAGACUCACAAAUCCGAGUCUAAAGAAGAGUCUAAGGAGGAUAUGAGUAUUGAUGUGAUGCCUGUUAGCACUCCAGAAAAAGUGAAGAAGCCUGUGAAGGUCAACACUUAUGCCCCCAACAAAGGUUACACAAUAGAAGAAAUACCCCGCCACAACCAAGCUUAUAGUCAAGCCCAAGUCUCCUCCUAUGAAAACUCAAGCUAAGUAGAUUAAGGUGCCUAUAGCUAUCACGACUGAAGUUGUCUCUGAGGCACCAAAGACUUCAAAGAAACCAAUCCUGCCAGAGCAUGCCUAGAAGGAGGCUAGAAAGAAUAAGAAAGAAAAAAAAUGCUUUGAGGAAGAGUAGAAGGCUUAAUGCCUAGCUGGUAUUUCUCUUAACCUUUAUUGAGGGGAAACCUAUGGCGGGCCCCAUUUCAUCAGCUGACAGUAAGGACAUUGUCCUUAAAUUAAGUCUGGGGGAGUGGCGGCUUAUGUCGUAACCUUGUCCAUCAAUCCAAUCAUUAUCAUCAUCAUCUGUUUUGUUGUUGUUUAAUUAAGUUGUUUGCUUUUAAUAUUUUGUUGUUGGUUGGCUGCCUUCAGCCGUAUUUCUAUUAAAUCAAUGAAACUGUAUUUGUAACCCCUAGAAGACAUAAUAAAAACAGAGGAAAAAAACUGACUGCAACCCCUAGAAGACAAACAACUCUAAAAGACUUAGGAAAAAUCUGGUAGGAUUAUGACAAUAUCGGAAACAAGGUCUUAAUUGCUAAUCAAUUGCACCCUUGUGUUUUUUAUAACCCCCGUCGCAUCUCUAGUAGUCAGAAAAGUAGGUAGCCUUUUGAUAAAAUUGAAUUAUUUUAAAGUAUGGAAUAUGAGUUCACUGUAGGAUUUACUCAGGGGAGGUUACUAAUGAUGUUUAGCAUCUAGUACAUUGGACAUACUGCAUAUGAAAAUAAACAUACAAAAGUGUGUAAAUGAAGUAAGUCAAAAUGCACUUCUUAAAUAAGUUCAUGUACCCGAAACUAGAGAAAUAGUAGGUGUCUUCACCAUUAAUACUAGAUUUGACUCAUUACAAGUGAGAUCAUGUCAGGGGAAAAGGUGGAGCAUCUAUCAAGUUUAUCAAUAAAUGCACGUCUGUUCCUAAGUACAAAAGUCUGAAAAUAGAAUAGUCAAAUCCCCCUGAUGAAAUUGAAAAAUAAAGUCUUGAACCAUAAGAUAAGGCAACCAAAGUUAAAUCAAGGCUAACUAUCUUUGAAUGAAGAGUACUGGUGUGGCAUGUAACAUCAAUAAUGCACAGAGCACGCGCACAUACACACACUUGUGAUCAAGCUUCAAGGAUAAGUUCAAAAUGAUGCUUCAAAAGCCUUUAAUACAUUACUCAUUCACUAAGGAUCAUAUUACUCACUACGCAUCACUAAUGGUUGAGAUAACUUCAAAAAAUGUUUGAAAGUAGACAAAUGUUCUAAAGAAGAGGAAAUAUCAUCAUUAACUAGCACAAAGACACAUGUCAAUCACCCGCAACGAAACGUUACCUAUUACAAGAAAGACAUUUAAAACACAUAUUCCGAAGGGCAACAAUGUCACAUCAAAGGCUUUCAUGUCCUCGAAUUCAGUGGUUGAAUAGGAACACUUAUUACAAACCUUCGCCUUGCAAAGCUGGCACAAGGAUUUGGAAGACAACUAUUAUGGGCCGCCCAUAAUACCUAAGGAUAAAGUUCCAAUAGUAAAACAAAAGAGUAAAGUGUAGAACAAUUAAACUCGUUUUCUCUUUCUGAGCAUGCAAUCUUGCAUAUGGAAGGUCUACUGGACAUCUAGAUCAAUUCGACAAUUGACCGUGAUCCACACCCUAUUCCACGCUUUCUAUUGCCAACCACUUCUCCUAUUUAAGCGAAUGGAUUACCUCCCUCAUAACAUUUUGUGGAUCACAACUCUAAAUCAUGGUUAAAGACUUUUAUCUUUAAAAAAAAAUAGAUAGGUCUGAAUUGAAACAGAGUUAGUAUGUGACUGUGGGCGAAAUUGAAUGCACGGUUACCUUGACAUUGAAACACAGAGUAGUUUGUGACUUUGACAUUAGAAUUUUAAGAGAGAAAUUAGUGGAAUACUAAUGUGUUUUAAGGGAUUGAGCGUGAUAUGAAUAUCCUUUUCUGAGUUUAUUAUCAACACCCUGCGGCUUGAUUGUGAUAGGAAUAUUCCAUCUAUCUAUCCAUCCACAGGUGAAACACCAUUACCAACUUAUUCAUUCAUUCAAGUGAUUGUGUAAGUAACACUACAUGUGUACUAGUACUACUACUGUCUUUUAUUACGUUAAACCGACACGUUGUAGGAAACACGUCUUAGAUAGAUGAGAAUAUCUAUAAUUUUUGUCCUAUUUAACUAUUUUUAAAGACACUAGUAAUUUUAAGAAUACUAAUUUUACCCUUUUGCUUUUAUUUUAAUAGCUGAAAUUAUAAUAUUUUUUAAAAAUUUUAUUUAUAAGAAAAAAAUGAUUUUUUAAAUUUAUUAAAUAAACAAUAUAUUUAAUUUAUCAUACAUACAUUAAUUAAAUAAAUUUAAAAAAAUAAUUAUUUUUUUAUAAAUAGAAUAAAAGUUAGUAUGUUUUAUCUUUUUGUUUUUAUUUUAUAGCUGGAAUUUCAGUUAUUAAAAACGAAUAUGUUAAAAUGUUAUAGGUUGGAACCCAUGUCUUUCCAAUUAUAUGUUAUUGCAUAACUAUAAACUAUGUUGAACUACACUAAUUUAAGCAUAUAUUUGGAAAAAGUUACCUGGAAAUUAGAAGUGACACAAUGUUUUAGAAACAAAUAUUUGUUACGAUAAGUGUGUUAACAAAUAGGCCACCGACAUACGACAGUUGCGACCAGCAGAGGUUGCUAACGUGCGCGUCAUCAAUCUCUACUAUUCAAGCUAAGUUCAUUCAUUGUCUUCUUCUUCUUCCUCACCUUCUCAAAUCCUCACAUUCCCAAUUUCUUCACUCUGCAAACCCAAUUUCUAGGGUUUUCCAUAAAUCACAAACCUCACGGUGGUUCAAUUCAAUCCACCGCCGAUUGUUAUGUAAUGAGGCGGCGCCCUGUGGCGGCCAUUCUCCAAGAUCAAAUGGAGAAAUCAACAACCAAAACCCAAAAUUCCCGAAUCUGCUUCCUCGCUAUUCUCACCGCUUUCUUCUGGCUCUUUCUCCUUUACUUCCAUUUCAUCAUCCUCCCCCAACAAAAUCAACCACAAUCCACCAUUUCCACCACCGUAAACAACCAACUAACAUCCCUCCACCACCAACCAUAUUCACCGCCACCGCCACCGCCACCACCACCGCCAGCAUCAUUACCCAAAUUCAAGAGUCCUCCAAGGAAGAACUUUGGCUUCCCUGAUAAGUCAACACUACAAUCACAAUCCCCUCC